rnacentral:rRNA from 1 species
UACGUAGGGUGCGAGCGUUGUCCGGAAUUACUGGGCGUAAAGAGCUCGUAGGUGGUUUGUCGCGUUGUUCGUGAAAACUCACAGCUUAACUGUGGGCGUGCGGGCGAUACGGGCAGACUGGAGUACUGCAGGGGAGACUGGAAUUCCUGGUGUAGCGGUGGAAUGCGCAGAUAUCAGGAGGAACACCGGUGGCGAAGGCGGGUCUCUGGGCCAUAACUGACGCUGAGGCACGAAAGCGUGGGGAGCAAACAGG